UACGUAGGGUGCAAGCGUUGUCCGGAAUUAUUGGGCGUAAAGAGCUCGUAGGCGGUUUGUUGCGUCGGCUGUGAAAUCCCGAGGCUCAACCUCGGGUCUGCAGUCGAUACGAGCAAACUAGAGUGUUGCAGGGGAGACUGGAAUUCCUGGUGUAGCGGUGAAAUGCGCAGAUAUCUGGAGGAACACCGGUGGCGAAGGCGGCAUUCUGGACCGAAACUGACGCUGAGGCGCGAAAGCCAGGGGAGCAAACGGG
rnacentral:rRNA from 1 species